rnacentral:rRNA from 1 species
UACGUAGGGUGCAAGCGUUAAUCGGAAUUACUGGGCGUAAAGCGUGCGCAGGCGGUGAUGUAAGACAGGGGUGAAAUCCCCGGGCUUAACCUGGGAACUGCAUUUGUGACUGCAUCGCUGGAGUGCGGCAGAGGGGGAUGGAAUUCCGCGUGUAGCAGUGAAAUGCGUAGAUAUGCGGAGGAACACCGAUGGCGAAGGCAGCCCCCUGGGCUAACACUGACGCUCAGGCACGAAAGCGUGGGGAGCAAACAGG